AAACCAACCGGGAUUGCCUUAGUAACGGCGAGUGAAGCGGCAAAAGCUCAAAUUUGAAAUCUGGUACCAUUCGGUGCCCGAGUUGUAAUUUGUAGAAGGCGACUCUGGGGCUGGGACCUUGUCUAUGUUCCUUGGAACAGGACGUCAUAGAGGGUGAGAAUCCCGUGUGGCGAGGCUCCCAGUUCUUUGUAGAGUGCUUUCGAAGAGUCGAGUUGUUUGGGAAUGCAGCUCUAAGUGGGUGGUAAAUUCCAUCUAAAGCUAAAUAUUGGCGAGAGACCGAUAGCGAACAAGUACAGUGAUGGAAAGAUGAAAAGAACUUUGAAAAGAGAGUGAAAAAGUACGUGAAAUUGUUGAAAGGGAAGGGCAUUUGAUCAGACAUGGUGUUUUGCGCCCCUUACUCCUCGUGGGUGAGGGAAUCUCGCAGCUCACUGGGCCAGCAUCAGUUUUGGCGGCAGGAUAAAUCUCUGGGAAUGUAGCUCUGCUCUUCGGGGUGGAGAGUUUAUAGCCCAGGGGAAUACUGCCAGCCGGGACUGAGGAAUGCGACUUUUUUUAGUCAAGGAUGCUGGCAUAAUGGUUAUAUGCCGC
rnacentral:rRNA from 2 species